rnacentral:rRNA from 1 species
AGCGAACGCUGGCGGCAGGCCUAACACAUGCAAGUCGAACGGAUCCUUCGGGAUUAGUGGCGGACGGGUGAGUAACACGUGGGAACGUGCCCUUUGGUUCGGAACAACUCAGGGAAACUUGAGCUAAUACCGGAUGUGCCCUCCGGGGGAAAGAUUUAUCGCCAUUGGAGCGGCCCGCGUAGGAUUAGCUAGUUGGUGGGGUAAAGGCUCACCAAGGCUACGAUCCUUAGCUGGUCUGAGAGGAUGAUCAGCCACAUUGGGACUGAGACACGGCCCAAACUCCUACGGGAGGCAGCAGUGGGGAAUCUUGCGCAAUGGGCGAAAGCCUGACGCAGCCAUGCCGCGUGAAUGAUGAAGGUCUUAGGAUUGUAAAAUUCUUUCACCGGGGACGAUAAUGACGGUACCCGGAGAAGAAGCCCCAGCUAACUUCGUGCCAGCCGCCGCCGUAAUAC